rnacentral:rRNA from 1 species
GGAAUAUUGCACAAUGGGCGCAAGCCUGAUGCAGCGACGCCGCGUGAGGGAUGACGGCCUUCGGGUUGUAAACCUCUUUCCGUAGGGAAGAAGCGAAAGUGACGGUCCCUGCAGAAGAAGCGCCGGCUAACUACGUGCCCGCAGCCGCGGGAAAACGUAGGGAGCAAGCGUUAUCCGGAAUUGUUGGGCGUAAAGAGCUCGUAGGCGGUUUGUCGCGUCUGCCGUGAAAGUCCGGGGCUCAACUCCGGAUCUGCGGUGGGUACGGGCAGACUAGAGUGAUGUAGGGGAGACUGGAAUUCCUGGUGUAGCGGUGAAAUGCGCAGAUAUCAGGAGGAACACCGAUGGCGAAGGCAGGUCUCUGGGCAUUAACUGACGCUGAGGAGCGAAAGCAUGGGGAGCGAAC